CAAUAUAUUUUCCCAAUACAAAACAAUUUUGUUUAAAUGAAAAACAAAAUAUAAAGAUAUAAUAAUCAAUUACACGUGUUCAGGUUAAGACCAGGCCCCUAUUUUUGCAUUGCACUUGACCAUUACGUUGAGCUUCUUGACAUUGCGCCUGAUUGACAUGCAUAUCCAUAUUGGAUGGCACAAGUUGCAUUAUGCUUUGCUAAUUGACUAGCAUAUCCAUAUUGUUGAGAUUGGCUUGACCAUUGUGAUGGACUUUUUUCAUACAUGCUAAAGUCAUAGGUUGCAGCAGGGUGGCCCUCUUGGCUCUCUAAGGUUGCUGGUGAGGCCAUCAAUGGAUUGACCCCUCGGAGGGCCGACACUUUUGAGCAGAUUGAUAAGAUCGGGCAAGGUACAUACAACAAUGUUUACAAAGCUAGGGAUACUUUAACUGGGAAAAUUGUUGCUCUAAGGAAGGUCCGUUUUGAAAAUUUAGAGCCUGAGAGUGUCAAGUUCAUGGCCAGAGAGAUUUUGAUUCUCCAGCGUUUGGAUCAUCCCAAUGUCAUCAAACUGGAAGGCUUAGUGACUUCUAGAAUGUCAUGCAGUUUAUAUCUUGUGUUUGAAUACAUGGUGCAUGAUUUGGCUGGCCUUGCCACAAAUCC